UUUGACCUCGGAUCAGUAGGGAUACCCGCUGAAC
rnacentral:rRNA from 1 species